rnacentral:rRNA from 1 species
UACGUAGGGGGCGAGCGUUGUCCGGAUUUAUUGGGCGUAAAGAGCGUGUAGGCGGCCAGGUAGGUCUGCUGUGAAAACUCGAGGCUCAACCUCGAGACGUCGGCGGAAACCAUCUGGCUAGAGUCCGGAAGAGGAGAGUGGAAUUCCUGGUGUAGCGGUGAAAUUCGUAGAUAUUAGGAAGAACACCGGUGGCGAAGGCGGCCCACUGGAUCGGUACUGACGCUGAGGUGCGAAAGCGUGGGGAGCAAAACGG